CCUCUAUGCGACCCCCACUGUAGGAUUGUAGUCUUCUAUUAUCUCUCGUACCCAACCGUACGUUCAUAAAGCGGCCUCCAACUGACUUUCAUCUCUUCUUUUGCAAUUCACUAUAAUAUGUACCCCUCUCUCUCUCUCUGUCCGUUUUUUCCGUGGGACACUAACCUCCUGUUACCUCAUGUUCUUGGCCGGUCAAACAAGGGCCUCCGCUAACCCUUCAUCCCCCCGACUGUAGUUCACUGUAAUACGUAACAACCCCCGUUGUAGUUCACGGUAAUAUGUAUUACAGAGAUUAUCCACCACUAGAUCUGAUCUAAUAUUUUCUCUUCAGAUUACAAAUGACUACUCAUCGAUGGAACCAUCUCGAAUAUCCAAAAAAGAUUCAGAAAAAUUAAGAUGAAGCAAUCUUAUAUCAUUUGCUAUUUAUCGGCCUCAAG
rnacentral:lncRNA from 1 species